rnacentral:rRNA from 1 species
AGAAUCAACGCUGGCGGCGUGCCUAACACAUGCAAGUCGCACGAGAAAGGGUAGCAAUACCUGAGUACAGUGGCGCACGGGUGAGUAACACGUGAAUAAUCUACCUCCGAGUGGGGAAUAACUGAGAGAAAUCUUAGCUAAUACCGCAUAACACUUACGAGUCAAAGCAGCAAUGCGCUUGGAGAGGAGUUCGCGGCAGAUUAGUUAGUUGGCGGGGUAAUGGCCCACCAAGACGAUGAUCUGUAUCCGGCCUGAGAGGGCGCACGGACACACUGGAACUGAAACACGGUCCAGACUCCUACGGGAGGCAGCAGUGGGGAAUUUUGCGCAAUGGGGGAAACCCUGACGCAGCAACGCCGCGUGGAGGAUGAAAUCCCUUGGGAUGUAAACUCCUUCGAUCGGGAAGAUAAUGACGGUACCGAGAGAAGAAGCCCGGCUAACUCGUGCCAGCAGCCGC